CGCACCUUGCGCUCCUUGGUAUUCCGAGGAGCAUGCCUGUUUGAGUGUCAUGAAAUUUUCAACCCCUUUUCCUUGCUGAAAGAAAAAGUGGAUUGGACCUUUGGAAGCUGCUGGACUCUACAUGGUUCAGCUCUUCUCAAAUAUAUUUGCAUGGUUGCUUCUUGACAAUUCCUUGGUAUGAUAAUUAUCUAUACCUACUGGAAUUUCUAGACUAUAGUGCCAAGCUUUCCAACCGUCUGCAAAGACAGUCUUCUAAACAAUUUUGACCUCAAAUCAGGUAGGAUUACCCGCUGAACUUAA
rnacentral:misc_RNA from 1 species